GUUUUAAUAAUUUAAUGAAAAUAUUGGUCUUGUAAACCAAACUUAAGGUCAUCUUUUAAAACU
rnacentral:tRNA from 1 species